AACGAACGCUGGCGGCAUGCCUAACACAUGCCAGUCGAACGAGACCUUCGGGUCUAGUGGCGCACGGGUGCGUAACGCGUGGGAACCUGCCCUUAGGUUCGGAAUAACUCCCCGAAAGGGGUGCUAAUACCGGAUAAUGUCUUCGGACCAAAGAUUUAUCGCCUUUGGAUGGGCCCGCGUUGGAUUAGCUAGUUGGUAGGGUAAAAGCCUACCAAGGCGACGAUCCAUAGCUGGUCUGAGAGGAUGAUCAGCCACACUGGGACUGAGACACGGCCCAGACUCCUACGGGAGGCAGCAGUGGGGAAUAUUGGACAAUGAGCGAAAGCCUGAUCCAGCAAUGCCGCGUGAGUGAUGAAGGCCUUAGGGUUGUAAAGCUCUUUUACCCGGGAUGAUAAUGACAGUACCGGGAGAAUAAGCUCCGGCUAACUCCGUG
rnacentral:rRNA from 1 species